CAGGUUGGGAUUGCUUAUCUGAACAUGCAGUUUCCCUUUGUGAGAAAUGGGGUAAAAUCAGGAGAGUUCAGAGUGAUUGCUACAUUGCCGAUGACUACAGCCAUGUUUUCGACAAGCACAAAGAUAGAGGUGAGGCAAGGUAAUGAAGUCAGUCAGAUGGGAAUCGGGCUUCAUCACCCCAUCUUCCACCCAACUGUUCAAAAUCCACCCGAGGCAGCUACAGUAGGUUUGGAAACUGUGUCUCAAUUGAUAGCUCAUAUUUCCCAGAAAUUUCUGAGUUACAGGAACUCCAAGAGGCCAACGCACGGCAAGUGCUCGGUGGUUCUUUACGGGCCUUAGCAGAACAAGGAAAUUGCGAGGGGGGUCGCUCACACUAUGAACAUGAGAUUCGAAUACACUGAUGCAUCAAAGCUGAUAAAAGAUUACCCAGAUGAUUCUAUAGCAGCCGUAAGAUUUUUUUUCCGUAUCCCAUAUAGGAGGGGCCCGCGUGUAUUAUUCAUUGACACAUUUGAUAAUGUCGCACCUGAAGUAGGAAGAGGUUACAGCUACAUCACUGAUGUGAUAGCUGCCAAGCUUAAGCUCACUUUGGACGAGCCAAUGGAGAACCAUGUCUUUAUCAUUGCAGGAGCAAGGUGGAGAUCCUUCGUAGAACCUGGUAUUCAUUCACGUGUGAGUGAUGUACUAUUCUGUAGACCACAAGAAGAACAGCAGGAGUGGGACAGUGUUGGGACGUGUCUCCGGCGCUUGAUGACUCUGCCAUACAAAGGGGAGCAUAGCCGUUGGAGAACACCUAGUGUUGUUCUGUAUGGACGGAACUCUUCUCAGAUGUGGAACGUUGCCAGCUCGUUUGCUGCGUGUCGUUCUCUCAAGCUUGUGAGAGCUGAAGCAUCACAUCUUCUCAGGAUGUACAACCGCGUUGGACAUGCCGCGCUCCGUGUCCACCUGGACAAUAUGGACAGGCAGGUCCAUGUGUUUGUUGCUGUUAGGUGGUGGCAACUGAUGAGUCCGCAACUCCUAGAAGCUGGCAGACUCGAUAAGCAGGUGUUCUGUGGAACACCCACAACGAAGGUGCUAUGGGACUAUGUUGGGAACCAACUGCUUCAGGUAGAUGAUAAUGAAUAG
rnacentral:rRNA from 1 species